GUCCACGCCGUAAACGAUGAUUACUAGGUGUUGGUGGGUAAGACCCAUCGGUGCCGCAGCAAACGCAAUAAAGUAAUCCACCUGGGGAGUACGUUCGCAAAGAAUGAAAACUCAAAAGGAAUUGACGGGGACCCGCACAAGCGGUGGAGCAUGUGGUUUAAAUUCGAAGCAAACGCGAAGAACCUUACCUGGUCUUGACAUCCCUAUGAAUAACGGGCAAAUGCCGUUAGUACUUCGGUACAUAGGAGACAGGUGGUGCAUGGUUGUCGU
rnacentral:rRNA from 1 species